rnacentral:rRNA from 1 species
UACGAAGGGGGCUAGCGUUGUUCGGAAUUACUGGGCGUAAAGCGCGUGUAGGCGGGUCUUUAAGUCAGGGGUGAAAUGCCAAGGCUCAACCUUGGAACUGCCUUUGAUACUGGAGAUCUUGAGUCCGGGAGAGGUGAGUGGAACUGCGAGUGUAGAGGUGAAAUUCGUAGAUAUUCGCAAGAACACCGGUGGCGAAGGCGGCUCACUGGCCCGGAACUGACGCUGAGACGCGAAAGCGUGGGGAGCAAACAGG